AGGCUAAACGACUCUCGGCAACGGAAAUCUCGGCUCUCGCAUCGAUGAAGAACGUAGCGAAAUGCGAUACUUGGUGUGAAUUGCAGAAUCCCGUGAACCAUCGAGUCUUUGAACGCAAGUUGCGCCCGAAGCCAUUAGGCCGAGGGCACGCCUUCCUGGGCGUCACACG
rnacentral:rRNA from 1 species